rnacentral:RNase_P_RNA from 3 species
AAAGUUGAUUGGAUCAUCGGUGCUGUUGAUCUCAAGAUAUUGAUUUAACAGUGCAGGAAAGUCUGGACUCCGCAGGGUAAGAUGCUACUGUUAUGGUUGUGAGGGUGACCUUAAGGAAAGUGCCACAGAAAAAAAACAGCCUAUUGGAAACGACUCGUUUCGAUUGAUGGGUGAUGGUGAAAAGGUGAGGUAAGAGCUCACCAGUUCUGGUUUGAAACCCAGAAGCUAGGUAAACCCCAUCUGGAGCAAGACCAAGUAGGAAACGUGAUAGUUACCCGCUAUAUGUUUUCGGGUUGGUUGCAUUAGAUGAAUGAUGGUCAUAAACAGAAUCCAGCUUAUAGAUCAACUUUGCCU